UACGUAGGGCGCAAGCGUUGUCCGGAAUUAUUGGGCGUAAAGAGCUCGUAGGCGGUCUGUCGCGUCUGCCGUGAAAACCCGAGGCUUAACCUCGUGGCCUGCGGUGGAUACGGGCAGACUAGAGGUAGGUAGGGGAGAAUGGAAUUCCCGGUGUAGCGGUGAAAUGCGCAGAUAUCGGGAGGAACACCGGUGGCGAAGGCGGUUCUCUGGGCCUUACCUGACGCUGAGGAGCGAAAGCGUGGGGAGCGAACAGG
rnacentral:rRNA from 1 species